AUUGAACGCUGGCGGCAUGCCUUACACAUGCAAGUCGAACGGCAGCGGGCCUUCGGGUGCCGGCGAGUGGCGAACGGGUGAGUAAUGCAUCGGAACGUGCCAUUGAGUGGGGGAUAACGUAGCGAAAGUUACGCUAAUACCGCAUAUCGUGCUUCGGCAUGAAAGCUUCUGAGGCAACUCGGGGGGCGCCAGUUGAGCAGCCUGCGUCCCAUUAUUUAGUCCUAGUUGGUAGGGUAAUGGCCUACCAAGGGUACGAUGGGUAGCUGGUCUGAGAGGAUGAUCAGCCACACUGGAACUGAGACACGGUCCAGACUCCUACGGGAGGCAGCAGUGGGGAAUAUUGCGCAAUGGGGGAAACCCUGACGCAGCCACGCCGCGUGAGUGAUGAAGGCC
rnacentral:rRNA from 1 species